rnacentral:rRNA from 2 species
GACGUAGGGCGCGAGCGUUGUCCGGAUUUAUUGGGCGUAAAGAGCUCGUAGGCGGCUUGUCGCGUCGGCUGUGAAAUCCCGUGGCUCAACUGCGGGCUGGCAGCCGAUACGGGCAGGCUAGAGUUCGGUAGGGGAGACUGGAAUUCCUGGUGUAGCGGUGAAAUGCGCAGAUAUCAGGAGGAACACCGGUGGCGAAGGCGGGUCUCUGGGCCGAUACUGACGCUGAGGAGCGAAAGCGUGGGGAGCGAACAGG